rnacentral:rRNA from 1 species
GGGAAUAUUGGACAAUGGGGGAAACCCUGAUCCAGCAAUGCCGCGUGUGCGAAGAAGGCCUUCGGGUUGUAAAGCACUUUUGUCCGGAAAGAAAUCCGCCUGGCCAAUACCCGGGCGGGAUGACGGUACCGGAAGAAUAAGCACCGGCUAACUACGUGCCAGCAGCCGCGGUAAUACGUAGGGUGAGAGCGUUAAUCGGAAUUACUGGGCGUAAAGCGUGCGCCGGCGGCGUUGUAAGACAGAUGUGAAAUCCCCGGGCUCAACCUGGGAACUGCGGUUGUGACUGCAAGGCUAGAGUGCGUCGGAGGGAGGUGGAAUUCCGCGUGUAGGAGGGAAAUGCGUAGAGAUGCGGGGGAACACCGAUGGGGAAGGCAGCCUCCUGGGAUGACACUGACGCUCAUGCACGAAAGCGUGGG